GAUAAACAGCAGCGUGAGGGAGCCUGGCCAUGGGGAUCCUACACCGCUGGACUUCAUCUCCCUCCUCACUGGGCUACAACCAUCUUCCUGGUCUCAUCAAUGAGCACUGAAAUGAUCCACAGCCUGGAAUUCGUCUGUGCUCUAUCAAGAAGCAUCUAAGUGGCCUGAAGAAACUGCUGACUUGAAGCGAGGACACAGCUGCUCUCAGCUGGCUUCACUGAUGCAGAAGCCUAACUGAACCCGGACCAGGCAUAACCCAGGUGCAGCAAGGGAACAGCUGCCUGUAUUUUAAUUGGGG